AUGCAUGUCUAAGUACACACUGUGGCACAGUGAAACCGCGAAUGGCUCAUUAAAUCAGUUAUGGUUUAUUAGAUCGUGCGUUCUACAUGGAUAACUGUGGUAAUUCUAGAGCUAAUACAUGCAACUAGCCCUGACUUACGGAGGGGCGCUUUUAUUAGAUCAAAAUCAAUCGGGUUCGCCCGUUUUUGUGAUGACUCUGGAUAACUUUUGCCGACCGCAUGGCCUUGCGCUGGCGGCGUAUCUUUCAAAUGUCUGCCCUAUCAACUUUCGAUGGUAGGUGACAUGCCUACCAUGGUUGUAACGGGUAACGGAGAAUCAGGGUUCGAUUCCGGAGAGGGAGCCUGAGAAACGGCUACCACAUCCAAGGAAGGCAGCAGGCGCGCAAAUUACCCACUCCCGGCACGGGGAGGUAGUGACGAAAAAUAACAAUGCUGGGCUUCAAGUCCGGUAAUUGGAAUGAGUACACUUUAAAUCCUUUAACGAGGAUCUAGUGGAGGGCAAGUCUGGUGCCAGCAGCCGCGGUAAUUCCAGCUCCACGAGCAUGUACGUAAGUUGUUGCAGUUAAAAAGCUCGUAGUUGGAUCUCAGGCUUGUGGCCGGUGGUCCGCCCGAUACGGGUGUGCACUGCCGUGCCCGGUCUACGUCUGGUUACGUCUGCAGUGCCCUUAACCGGGUGCUGUAGAAUGCCAGAAAGUUUACUCUGAAAAAAUUAGAGUGCUUAAAGCAAGCCGUUUGUGCUUGAAUACUGUUGCAUGGAAUAAUAGAAUAGGACCUCGGAUCUAUUUUGUUGGUUUUCGGAGUCGAGGUAAUGAUUAAGAGGGACAGACGGGGGCAUUCGUAUUGCGCCGUUAGAGGUGAAAUUCUUGGAUCGGCGCAAGACGAACAACUGCGAAAGCAUUUGCCAAGGAUGUUUUCAUUAAUCAAGAACGAAAGUCAGAGGUUCGAAGACGAUCAGAUACCGUCGUAGUUCUGACCAUAAACGAUGCCAACUGGCGAUCCGCCGUAAUCUGGCUUAAAGGAUUCGGCGGGCAGCCUCCGGGAAACCUAAGUCUAUGGGUUCCGGGGGAAGUAUGGUUGCAAAGCUGAAACUUAAAGGAAUUGACGGAAGGGCACCACCAGGAGUGGAGCCUGCGGCUUAAUUUGACUCAACACGGGAAAACUCACCCGGCCAGGACACCGUUAGGAUUGACAGACUGAGAGCUCUUUCUUGAUUCGGUGGGUGGUGGUGCAUGGCCGUUCUUAGUUGGUGGAGCGAUUUGUCUGGUUAAUUCCGAUAACGAACGAGACUCUAGCCUGCUAAAUAGACGGGCGAUGCCUCUGUGCGUCGACCCGAUCAGCUUCUUAGAGGGACAAGUGGCGUUCCUAGCCACGCGAAAUUGAGCAAUAACAGGUCUGUGAUGCCCUUAGAUGUCCGGGGCCGCACGCGCGCUACAAUGAGGGACGCAGUGUGCCCGCAAAGCCUGAUCCGAAAGGAUUGGGUAAUCAUUUCAAUUUCCCUCGUAAUAGGGAUUGAGCAUUGUAACUAUUGCUCAUGAACGAGGAAUUCCUAGUAAGCGCGAGUCAUAAGCUUGCGUUGACUACGUCCCUGCCCUUUGUACACACCGCCCGUCGCUACUACCGAUUGAAUGGUUUAGCGAGAUCCUCGGAUCGGGCCUUAUACGCUCGCAAGGGUGUUUGAGGUCUGAGAAGAAGCUCAAGCUUGAUCAUUUA
rnacentral:rRNA from 1 species